rnacentral:rRNA from 1 species
CCUACGGGAGGCAGCAGUGGGGAAUAUUGCACAAUGGGGGAAACCCUGAUGCAGCGACGCCGCGUGAGCGAUGAAGUAUUUCGGUAUGUAAAGCUCUAUCAGCAGGGAAGAAAAUGACGGUACCUGACUAAGAAUCCCCGGCUAACUACGUACCAGCAGCCGCUGUAAUACGUAGGGGGCAAGCGUUAUCCGGAUUUACUGGGUGGAAAGGGAGCGUAGACGGUCCUGCAAGCCAGAUGUGAAAGCCCGGGGCUCAACCCCGGGACUGCAUUUGGAACUGUAAGGCUAGAGUGUCGGAGAGGCAGGCGGAAUUCCUAGUGUAGCGGUGAAAUGCGUAGAUAUUAGGAGGAACACCAGUGGCGAAGGCGGCCUGCUGGACGAUGACUGACGUUGAGGCUCGAAAGCGUGGGGAGCAAACAGGAUUAGAUACCCCGGUAGUC